AAAUUAGAACUUAGAAAGAAAAAAAAAACUGGCAGCUCUUUCUUCCGUUUUGCUCUGCUCCCCCCAAAAGUCCAAAACCCUUUUCUCUACUCUCAACUUCUCAACACUCUACAAUCGGAGCAACGAUUUCAACAAACUACAACGCCAACAACCCGAGGUUUCUCUCUCUUUCUCUCAAUUUCAAAGGUUGUCUUUCAAUUUCUUUAAAGAUUGGCUAUGAAUUGUGGAUGUUUCAGAUUACAAAGCAUAUUAGGGAUCCAAUAGGACUUCGUCGGGAAGUAUUUAUAGGCAACUCUCUAAGAAGUUUCGGUCUCCACCUCGACAUGGUUUUGUUUGAGCUGUAUUGUUUGUCUCUUUUUUCUGUCUCACAAGCAAUAUCUAUAGAUUUUUUGAACUAAUUAAUUGAAAUUAGGUUGAUAUGACGAGCCUCCUGAAAAGCGUCGAUUGAGUGUCGCGGUUGUCAAGGUUUUUUCUUCGUUGAGUGAUUGAUUAUGCCCUAAUUUUGUAGUCUGACAUAAAUUGAGGGUUCAAUUUGAAUUUGAAAUUUAUGUUUGAGUUUCAUUGGGGGGGAGUUUACUGGGUAAAAUUUGAUAUAAGAUUGACAGUGGGUGAGCCAAAAUAAAUUCCAAAUCUCCCCCUUUGUCUCUAUAAUUCUAUUCUCUAUGUUUUCUCCAAAACAGUUUCAACCUUUUUUGCUGUAGCAUGUUGGGCGUACAGUUGUUUAGCAAAUUAUCUUUGAUGUACUCUUGUUACCUUCUUCGGUUCUUCCCUGUACAGUGUAGUCUUUUUCUACCUGUCCUUGAAUCCCUCUUUUCUUUUACACCAAUUCAAGUGUUUAAUUGUGUGGUUUCACUUCAUGUCAUUUGUUAAAUUUGAUUGAUCAUGGAAACAGCUACGGAUUAAUAUUUUUGGGGAUAUUUCGUUUUUCUAGGCUCGAAUGUUGCAUUGUUGGGUUGUUCCUUUUUGGUUGGUAGUCGUCCUGAUCUUCUCGUAUGGGGUACUUUUAAAUGGAUGAUGACGGGGAGGUGGUUAAAAGAGAAACCCCUGUUAGUGAAGAGCAAAGUGAGGGACUUUCUACUGGUGUUUCUACUUGGUUGAGUAAUGUUAAAUGUAUGUUUACAAAAGUCUAUAGUUACCUGUCAUAAGCACAAGAUGCAAGUCCCUUCUCAAUCUCAAUGCUAAAUUUCCCAAUUUGGUCAUUAAUUGUGUGAGCUAUAAACAAUCAGUAUAAGUGUGUCGUCGUACUUUUGCACAUCCAUUAUAUAAAAUAAUUAUUAGGUGCAGAAAAACAUUAGCGAAUGCAAAGUAUCUCACUCACAUUUUUGUUGAUUAAUUAGUCAAAAUUAAGAUGUUUUAACAAACAAUAAAUUAAAGUGGUUUAGAUGAUUUAGAAAUAGAAUUAUAUGAUUUCAUGAGUUAUUUUACCGGUUUCUUUAGCUUUAGUCUUUGGUAUCUAAGCUAGUUUAGGAGCUUAAUUUUUAGAUUAUUUUGGCAGUAUGUCAGCCCAACCAAUCAUGGGACUCAUUUCUGUAUUAUAUUAUUCGAUUCACAUGUUUCAGUCGUAGUAAGACAAUAGUCCGUAUGUAAGAGUUAUUUAACAUUUUAUAUGCGGACAGUUCUGCAACUAGGAUGAGAGUAUUCGGUUAUUGACAAUUUGACACCACUGAGUUGUAUAAAAUUCAUAUACAUAUCUUGACUAUAUCAGCAAAGGGAUCUCGAUAAUUAUGAUCCCCUAUUCUAGCUUGGCUGGAGAAGAGAUGCAUGGCAAUCACAAUUUACUCACUGAGUAUCUCUGAUUGGUAAGGACUUGAUAGGAUGACUAAUCCAUAUCACGCUUACUAUACAUACCCCGUCUUAGCUGAAAUUCAAGCUAGAUUAGACAUGGUUAAUGACUUUUUAAGCAAACAUCACAAUAUUUUCUUUUAAGUCUGGUAAAUAACUUUAGUUCUAGUACAAAGUAAUUAUCAUUUAGCACUUUCUUACCAUUCUUUUGCACAUAAACAACGCCAGUCUUGACAUUGUAUAAUGUGUUGUUUUGUUAAUUUUCCGGUUAUGGUCCCUUUCAACUUUACUGAAUUCAUUGACGCUCUUACCAACUUGGUUAAGAACAACUCUAUUAGGAUGAAGCGUGUGGUGCGUGUUGAUGAUGCUGUGAAGAGGAUUCUGCAUGUUAAGUUCAUUAGAGGUCUCUUCAAAACCCUAUGGAUGAUUUUAGUCUGGUUAAUGAGAUAGGAAGCUAGAUUCAUGUUUCAUAUUUAACUUCGCAUGCUCACAAAGACUUAGCAAGAGAGACUGUGAGAAAAUCUCUUAUACUGCUGAAGAAUAGAAAAGGAGAUGACCCAUUGUUGCCCCUUCCUAAAACAACAGUAACGAUACUAGUAACUGGUACACAUGCUCAUAAUUUGGGUUAUCAUUGUGGUGGAUGGACAAUUAAAUGGCAGUGGUUUACAGAUUGAGCAGGAACUACUAUUCUGGAUGCUAUCAAAUCCACACUUUACCCAGGCUUUAGCCGUUUCAAGAAUUUGAUUUUUCUGGGGUAGUAUUUUGUCCUAAUUAAUCACUCAUUUUCCCAGGUGUUUUCCUAUUGCCCAGAUUGUCAGUUUCCAAGUUAUGACAAAAAGCAGAUAGACGAAGAACUCAAUGGGUGCGCCAUGUUGUUCAACAAUUGCAUAUUAGCUAGGUUACGUUGAAGGAACCAACCAAUAUACAACUCUAUUAAUUAAUAUAUUUUGUCUAAUUUAAUGUUCGUGGUCUUAUUUUAGAACAUAUCUAUGUAAUCGUUUUUAUUCGGGUGAUAAUAGCAAAAAAAAAUUCAUUGA